UACGUAGGGUCCAAGCGUUGUCCGGAAUUAUUGGGCGUAAAGAGCUCGUAGGCGGUCUGUUGCGUCGGUUGUGAAAACCUGGGGCUCAACUCCAGGCCUGCAAUCGAUACGGGCAGACUAGAGUUCGGUAGGGGAGACUGGAAUUCCUGGUGUAGCGGUGAAAUGCGCAGAUAUCAGGAGGAAUACCGAUGGCGAAGGCAGGUCUCUGGGCUGACACUGACGCUCAUGCACGAAAGCGUGGGGAGCAAACAGG
rnacentral:rRNA from 1 species